rnacentral:rRNA from 1 species
AUUACUCCUACGGGAGGCAGCAGUGGGGAAUAUUGGACAAUGGGCGCAAGCCUGAUCCAGCAAUGCCGCGUGAGUGAAGAAGGCCUUAGGGUUGUAAAGCUCUUUCGCCUGCGACGAUGAUGACGGUAGCAGGAGAAGAAGCCCCGGCUAAUUCCGUGCCAGCAGCCGCGGUAAUAAU